AUACAUUGCAGGGGAAAGUGGUCAUUUGCUCCCACCCACAUUUGUACUACUACUCCUUGAUGGUGCUGGCUGGCCAGGAUAAAACCACGCAGAGAUGACACACUUGAUGCAGGCCAACAAGGAAGGAAGUCACCAUACUUCAGAAGGAAAAUCUGCCCUCGUGAAGAAAAUGUGCUGGUCACAAAGAGUUGGGCUGUUCUUAUCCUACACAGCAAGUUCUCACUGCAAAUUAAUUAACUGGUUGGAUUCCUAAGUGGCCUAUUGUACAGGUAAGGAGUGCUGAUUGUGUGGAUCAGGGCAGUUUCCUUUUCAGAAUAAUUAUUUGUCAUGUGAAAUUAUAAACAAAUAGUCUAAUUUUUUUCUGGUAUUAUAUGGCAAUCACAUCAUUCUAGUGAUGGCAUUAGUCCUUUGUUUUGCAAUAAUAAAUAGAAUUUAAGUUUUGAGAUGUUAAAACUCAAAGCUUGAUCCUAGACAUUGACAUCAAGAUGAUUGGACACAGGAAGGGAAUCAAGCAACCUCAUCCAUGCC
rnacentral:lncRNA from 1 species